GAUGAACGCUGGCGGCGUGCCUAAUACAUGCAAGUCGAGCGAACAGACGAGGAGCCUGCUCCUCUGACGUUAGCGGCGGACGGGUGAGUAACACGUGGAUAACCUACCUAUAAGACUGGGAUAACUUCGGGAAACCGGAGCUAAUACCGGAUAAUAUAUUGAACCGCAUGGUUCAAUAGUGAAAGACGGUUUUGCUGUCACUUAUAGAUGGAUCCGCGCCGCAUUAGCUAGUUGGUAAGGUAACGGCUUACCAAGGCGACGAUGCGUAGCCGACCUGAGAGGGUGAUAGGCCACACUGGAACUGAGACACGGUCCAGACUCCUACGGGAGGCAGCAGUAGGGAAUCUUCCGCAAUGGGCGAAAGCCUGACGGAGCAACGCCGCGUGAGUGAUGAAGGUCUUCGGAUCGUAAAACUCUGUUAUUAGGGAAGAACAAAUGUGUAAGUAACUAUGCACGUCUUGACGGUACCUAAUCAGAAAGCCACGGCUAACUACGUG
rnacentral:rRNA from 1 species